rnacentral:rRNA from 1 species
UAAGCGACUAAGCGUACACGGUGGAUGCCCUGGCAGUCAGAGGCGAUGAAGGACGUGCUAAUCUGCGAUAAGCGUCGGUAAGGUGAUAUGAACCGUUAUAACCGGCGAUUUCCGAAUGGGGAAACCCAGUGUGUUUCGACACACUAUCAUUAACUGAAUCCAUAGGUUAAUGAGGCGAACCGGGGGAACUGAAACAUCUAAGUACCCCGAGGAAAAGAAAUCAACCGAGAUUCCCCCAGUAGCGGCGAGCGAACGGGGAGCAGCCCAGAGCCUGAAUCAGUGUGUGUGUUAGUGGAAGCGUCUGGAAAGGCGCGCGAUACAGGGUGACAGCCCCGUACACAAAAAUGCACAUGCUGUGAGCUCGAUGAGUAGGGCGGGACACGUGGUAUCCUGUCUGAAUAUGGGGGGACCAUCCUCCAAGGCUAAAUACUCCUGACUGACCGAUAGUGAACCAGUACCGUGAGGGAAAGGCGAAAAGAACCCCGGCGAGGGGAGUGAAAAAGAACCUGAAACCGUGUACGUACAAGCAGUGGGAGCACGCUUAGGCGUGUGACUGCGUACCUUUUGUAUAAUGGGUCAGCGACUUAUAUUCUGUAGCAAGGUUAACCGAAUAGGGGAGCCGAAGGGAAACCGAGUCUUAACUGGGCGUUAAGUUGCAGGGUAUAGACCCGAAACCCGGUGAUCUAGCCAUGGGCAGGUUGAAGGUUGGGUAACACUAACUGGAGGACCGAACCGACUAAUGUUGAAAAAUUAGCGGAUGACUUGUGGCUGGGGGUGAAAGGCCAAUCAAACCGGGAGAUAGCUGGUUCUCCCCGAAAGCUAUUUAGGUAGCGCCUCGUGAAUUCAUCUCCGGGGGUAGAGCACUGUUUCGGCAAGGGGGUCAUCCCGACUUACCAACCCGAUGCAAACUGCGAAUACCGGAGAAUGUUAUCACGGGAGACACACGGCGGGUGCUAACGUCCGUCGUGAAGAGGGAAACAACCCAGACCGCCAGCUAAGGUCCCAAAGUCAUGGUUAAGUGGGAAACGAUGUGGGAAGGCCCAGACAGCCAGGAUGUUGGCUUAGAAGCAGCCAUCAUUUAAAGAAAGCGUAAUAGCUCACUGGUCGAGUCGGCCUGCGCGGAAGAUGUAACGGGGCUAAACCAUGCACCGAAGCUGCGGCAGCGACGCUGAUGCGUUGUUGGGUAGGGGAGCGUUCUGUAAGCCUGCGAAGGUGUGCUGUGAGGCAUGCUGGAGGUAUCAGAAGUGCGAAUGCUGACAUAAGUAACGAUAAAGCGGGUGAAAAGCCCGCUCGCCGGAAGACCAAGGGUUCCUGUCCAACGUUAAUCGGGGCAGGGUGAGUCGACCCCUAAGGCGAGGCCGAAAGGCGUAGUCGAUGGGAAACAGGUUAAUAUUCCUGUACUUGGUGUUACUGCGAAGGGGGGACGGAGAAGGCUAUGUUGGCCGGGCGACGGUUGUCCCGGUUUAAGCGUGUAGGCUGGUUUUCCAGGCAAAUCCGGAAAAUCAAGGCUGAGGCGUGAUGACGAGGCACUACGGUGCUGAAGCAACAAAUGCCCUGCUUCCAGGAAAAGCCUCUAAGCAUCAGGUAACAUCAAAUCGUACCCCAAACCGACACAGGUGGUCAGGUAGAGAAUACCAAGGCGCUUGAGAGAACUCGGGUGAAGGAACUAGGCAAAAUGGUGCCGUAACUUCGGGAGAAGGCACGCUGAUAUGUAGGUGAAGUCCCUCGCGGAUGGAGCUGAAAUCAGUCGAAGAUACCAGCUGGCUGCAACUGUUUAUUAAAAACACAGCACUGUGCAAACACGAAAGUGGACGUAUACGGUGUGACGCCUGCCCGGUGCCGGAAGGUUAAUUGAUGGGGUUAGCCGCAAGGCGAAGCUCUUGAUCGAAGCCCCGGUAAACGGCGGCCGUAACUAUAACGGUCCUAAGGUAGCGAAAUUCCUUGUCGGGUAAGUUCCGACCUGCACGAAUGGCGUAAUGAUGGCCAGGCUGUCUCCACCCGAGACUCAGUGAAAUUGAACUCGCUGUGAAGAUGCAGUGUACCCGCGGCAAGACGGAAAGACCCCGUGAACCUUUACUAUAGCUUGACACUGAACAUUGAGCCUUGAUGUGUAGGAUAGGUGGGAGGCUUGGAAGUGUGGACGCCAGUCUGCAUGGAGCCGACCUUGAAAUACCACCCUUUAAUGUUUGAUGUUCUAACGUUGACCCGUAAUCCGGGUUGCGGACAGUGUCUGGUGGGUAGUUUGACUGGGGCGGUCUCCUCCUAAAGAGUAACGGAGGAGCACGAAGGUUGGCUAAUCCUGGUCGGACAUCAGGAGGUUAGUGCAAUGGCAUAAGCCAGCUUGACUGCGAGCGUGACGGCGCGAGCAGGUGCGAAAGCAGGUCAUAGUGAUCCGGUGGUUCUGAAUGGAAGGGCCAUCGCUCAACGGAUAAAAGGUACUCCGGGGAUAACAGGCUGAUACCGCCCAAGAGUUCAUAUCGACGGCGGUGUUUGGCACCUCGAUGUCGGCUCAUCACAUCCUGGGGCUGAAGUAGGUCCCAAGGGUAUGGCUGUUCGCCAUUUAAAGUGGUACGCGAGCUGGGUUUAGAACGUCGUGAGACAGUUCGGUCCCUAUCUGCCGUGGGCGCUGGAGAACUGAGGGGGGCUGCUCCUAGUACGAGAGGACCGGAGUGGACGCAUCACUGGUGUUCGGGUUGUCAUGCCAAUGGCACUGCCCGGUAGCUAAAUGCGGAAGAGAUAAGUGCUGAAAGCAUCUAAGCACGAAACUUGCCCCGAGAUGAGUUCUCCCUGACCCUUUAAGGGUCCUGAAGGAACGUUGAAGACGACGACGUUGAUAGGCCGGGUGUGUAAGCGCAGCGAUGCGUUGAGCUAACCGGUACUAAUGAACCGUGAGGCUUAACCU